rnacentral:rRNA from 1 species
UGGAAUUUAACAAAACCCCGGCACGGCAUGUGCCAGGGAANACAAUAAACGGAGAAGGACUCGACCUGUUAUGCCCCGUUUGUGGUGUGCAUUCUGAGCGUGUCCUCCUYUGAAUCACAAACGACUCUCGGCAA